GACGAACGCUGGCGGCGUGCUUAACACAUGCAAGUCGAACGGAAAGGCCCUACUUUGGUCGGGUGCUCGAAUGGCGAACGGGUGAGUAACGCGUGGGUAACCUGCCUUUGAGUUGGGGAUAACUACAGGAAACUAUGGCUAAUACCGGAUAAGAGUAGCUGCUGCAUGGUGUGGGAUGAAAAGGUGCUGCGGUUGGGGUAGCAGGCGCGCCUGAUCUGCUUGUUGGUGGGGUAGUGGAAUACCAAGGCGAUGACGGGUAGCCAGCCUGAGAGGGUGACCGGCCACAGUGGGACUGAGAAACGGCCCAGACUGCUACGGGAGGCAGCAGUGGGGAAUAUUGCACAAUGGGCGGAAGCCUGAUGCAGCGACGCCGCGUGGUGGAUGACGGCCUUCGGGUUGUAAACCGUUUUCGCCUGGGACGAAGCGUGAGUGACGGUAACUGGUAAAGAAGCGCCGGCUAACUACGUG
rnacentral:rRNA from 1 species